rnacentral:rRNA from 1 species
GACGAACGCUGGCGGCGUGCCUAAUACAUGCAAGUCGAGCGAAGUUUUUCUGGUGCUUGCACCGGAAAAACUUAGCGGCGAACGGGUGAGUAACACGUAAAGAACCUGCCUCAUAGACUGGGACAACUAUUGGAAACGAUAGCUAAUACCGGAUAAUAGCAUUAACUGCAUGGUUGAUGUUUAAAAGUUGGUUUUGCUAACACUAUGAGAUGGCUUUGCGGUGCAUUAGCUAGUUGGUGGGGUAAAGGCCUACCAAGGCGACGAUGCAUAGCCGACCUGAGAGGGUGAUCGGCCACACUGGGACUGAGACACGGCCCAGACUCCUAUGGGAGGCAGCAGUAGGGAAUCUUCCGCAAUGGGCGAAAGCCUGACGGAGCAACGCCGCGUGAGUGAAGAAGGAUUUCGGUUCGUAAAGCUCUGUUGUUAGGGAAGAAUGAUUGUGUAGUAACGAUACACAGUAGAGACGGUACCUAACCAGAAAGCCACGGCUAACUACGUG